GACAGAGGGUGCAAACGUUGUUCGGAUUUACUGGGCGUAAAGCGCGUGUAGGCGGCCCGUGCAAGUCGGGUGUGAAAGCCCUCGGCUCAACCGAGGAAGUGCGCCCGAAACUGCAUGGCUUGAGUACCGGAGAGGAUGGCGGAAUUCCCAAGUAGAGGUGAAAUUCGUAGAUAUGGGGAGGAACACCGGUGGCGAAGGCGGCCAUCUGGACGGAUACUGACGCUGGAGACGCGAAAAGCGUGGGGAGCAAACAGG
rnacentral:rRNA from 1 species